rnacentral:rRNA from 1 species
AUGAACGCUGGCGGCGUGCCUAAUACAUGCAAGUCGCGCGAACGGACGAGAAGCUUGCUUCCCUGAUGUUAGCGGCGGACGGGUGAGUAACACGUGGAUAACCUACCUAUAAGACUGGGAUAACUUCGGGAAACCGUAGCUAAUACCGGAUAAUAUUUUGAACCGCAUGGUUCAAAAGUGAAAGACGGUCUUGCUGUCACUUAUAGAUGGAUCCGCGCUGCAUUAGCUAGUUGGUAAGGUAACGGCUUACCAAGGCAACGAUGCAUAGCCGACCUGAGAGGGUGAUCGGCCACACUGGAACUGAGACACGGUCCAGACUCCUACGGGAGGCAGCAGUAGGGAAUCUUCCGCAAUGGGCGAAAGCCUGACGGAGCAACGCCGCGUGAGUGAUGAAGGUCUUCGGAUCGUAAAACUCUGUUAUUAGGGAAGAACAUAUGUGUAAGUAACUGUGCACAUCUUGACGGUACCUAAUCAGAAAGCCACGGCUAACUACGUG